rnacentral:tmRNA from 1 species
GGGGGCGUACCGGUUUCGACGGGGGCACGGGUGCGGGAUAAGCGGGCAAAGGCGCCUUCCCUUUUCAAAAAGGGCAAAACAAAAUUAACUGAGAACAACAAUUCUCUUCCGGUAGCCGCUUAAGGCUACCCGUCCCUCCCCGAAGGGCCACGAGCGGGGUUGGGGCGUGACUUAGUGGCGAACGUGAGCGCGUUAAGCUUUGCGCGCGCCAUGCAUCGAUGAAGCUACGAAACCGGCGGGCGUGACGGCUUGCCCCCGGGGACGAAAACGGAGCUUGACUCCGAAAUAACCGUCUGCGCCCGGAGAAAGUCUCGAGGAAGUGUUUUCGGACAGGGGUUCAACUCCCCUCGCCUCCACCA